rnacentral:rRNA from 1 species
UACACUCCUACGGGAGGCAGCAGUGGGGAAUAUUGGACAAUGGGCGCAAGCCUGAUCCAGCCAUGCCGCGUGAGUGAUGAAGGCCCUAGGGUUGUAAAGCUCUUUCACCGGUGAAGAUAAUGACGGUAACCGGAGAAGAAGCCCCGGCUAACUUCGUGCCAGCAGCCGCGGUAAUACGAAGGGGGCUAGCGUUGUUCGGAUUUACUGGGCGUAAAGCGCACGUAGGCGGACUAUUAAGUCAGGGGUGAAAUCCCGGGGCUCAACCCCGGAACUGCCUUUGAUACUGGUAGUCUUGAGUACGAUAGAGGUGAGUGGAAUUCCGAGUGUAGAGGUGAAAUUCGUAGAUAUUCGGAGGAACACCAGUGGCGAAGGCGGCUCACUGGCUCGAUACUGACGCUGAGGUGCGAAAGCGUGGGGAGCAAACAGGAUUAGAAACCCGUGUAGUCCCAUGAU